rnacentral:rRNA from 1 species
CGUGAGUAACCUGCCUUGGAGUGGGGAAUAACAGAUGGAAACAUCUGCUAAUACCGCAUAAUACGUCUGUGUCGCAUGGCACUGGACGUCAAAGAUUUAUCGCUCUGAGAUGGACUCGCGUCUGAUUAGCUGGUUGGCGGGGUAACGGCCCACCAAGGCGACGAUCAGUAGCCGGACUGAGAGGGUGGCCGGCCACAUUGGGACUGAGACACGGCCCAGACUCCUACGGAAGGCAGCAG